GCUGAGUUAAAACCUGUUUAUAACCAAAACUUUUUCCACAGGUCACACAUGAAAACGGCUUUUCACCAGUGUGAAUCAUCAUGUGACGAGUUAAUUCCUGUUUUUGACGAAAACCCUUUCCACAGGUCACGCAUGAAAACGGCUUUUCACCUGUGUGAAUCAUCAUGUGACGAGUUAAUUCCUGUUUUUGA